rnacentral:lncRNA from 1 species
CAUUUCUGUAGUGUCCAUGUCUCUGGAUUUCAUCCCAGCAUCGCUAGCAUCCAUGAGCCGUCAGCUUACAAUUACCUGAAAUGUCGGCGAUACUUUGGUCAGCAACUCGUAACUUAGAACAGUACACAUAGACAACGCACAUCCUAUGGGAAGAUCCAGGAGUAGAAGAAACUAGUCUACAAUAUCACCUUGACAGGGAGGAAAAAAAAAAAAAGCUCAAAAGAAGUUGAUUAUAGAGAAGUCCAUUUGUAUGAGCUGAUGGAAUAACUCUCUUCUCUCUCUCUCUCUCUCUNNNNNNNNNNNNNNNNNNNNNNNNNNNNNNNNNNNNNNNNNNNNNNNNNNNNNNNNNNNNNNNNNNNNNNNNNNNNNNNNNNNNNNNNNNNNNNNNUCUCUCUCUCUCUCUCUCUCUCUCUCUCUCUCUCUCUCUCUCUCUCUCUCUCUCUCUCUCUCUCUCUCUCUCUCUCUCUCUCUCUCUCUCUCUCUCUCUCUCUCUCUCUCUCUCUCUCUCUCUCUCUCUCUCUCUCUCUCUCUCUCUCUCUCUCUCUAUCUCGCUCUAUCUAUCCAUCUAUCUAUCUCUCUCAUACACAGGCACACAUGCAGAGACUAGAAUCCUUGCUCAAAAACCUUAUGGCGCACCUUCUUUGUUCAUCUAUUUUAAUUUGAGUUCAGCCUUUGAAAAGGGAAAUCGAAGGACCACAAAAUAACCUCUUGUAGUUUAGAGUGCAAAUAGAAAAUGUUGAUCUUCCCUCGCGACCCUUGCUUCGAUCUGCCAACAAAAUACCCUUUUUUUUUGGCAUCAGAUCUUACCUCUCAAUAUAAAUAAGCCUUUGCAUCGUGGUGCCUGGAAACCUAGGAAUGCUCCCACGUCAUGUUCAUAUAUCCAGAUUCAAGCCUCUAACUUUGGACCCAUAAUUUCUGAGUCGAACAGGAUUCUUACUGCUGGCGAGGGUAGUAGCAGUUACUUUCUGUGUGACACUGGCAGCAUCCCUUGCUGCUUGCCGUGGACCCAUCGCCAUGGCAGCAUUUCAAGUCUGUCUCCAGAUCUGGUUAUCAACGUCCCUUCUUGCGGAUGGAUUGGCAGUUGCGGGGCAGGUCAGAAACUCUUAGCACGGCAAUGUUUCCAUUUAUAGUAGAAGCACACAAUCAUCAAGCAGCAUGUAGCAUCUGAUUUCAAUUAAAAUCAAAGCAGGUCAAAAACUCCGAAUUCCUACACUUUCCUAUUCUGUAAACAAAAGCAUUUGUGAGAUCAUUCAAUUUCCUCUAAUUUCACACCUUCAUGGAAAAUUCGACGUGUUCAAAUUCUUCUUCAGGCGAUCAUAGCCAGUUCAUUUGCCACAGGAGACCACCAGAAAGCAGUGGCUGUUGCUUCUCGUGUGUUGCAGGUGCACCAUGUCACACAUUCUACCAGAAAUAUUCUUUUCAAGUUCUAAAGUAAUCAUUACUCGUUGAUAUCACAGCUGGGUAUCAUUCUGGGAAUGGGACUCUCUGCUGCUAUUGGAAUUGGAAUGAAGUUCGGAUCAGGAAUAUUCACAAAAGACAAGAAUGUACAGAAAUUAAUCCACACCGUAUUACCGGUAAGUAGGCCUGGACUCAUUCUCUUCGAUUGAAAAAAGAUAAAAUUGACCAUGAAUCCAAAAAAACAUGCUACUUUCAUGCAUUUUCAUCCGGAUAAAUCAUACACUAACAAAUGGCUUAUUUGAUAUUGCACACAGUUUGUCGCUGCUACACAGCCAAUCAAUUCGUUGGCCUUCGUCUUUGACGGUAUCAAUUUCGGAGCAUCAGAUUAUAUCUAUUCAGCUUAUUCUAUGGUAUAUUAAUUCAAACCUGUUUCACUAGGGAAAGUAAUUAAUGAAAACUUUUUGUUUCGCUUCCUUGUUAACUAACCUUUUCCAUUCAGGUUCUGGUGGCUAUUAUCAGCAUCAUUUCCCUGUUUAUUCUCUCUUCCAGCCAUGGGUUCAUUGGAAUCUGGAUUUCCUUAACGAUCUACAUAAGCUUGCGGAUGUUUGCGGGUAUUUGGAGGUACAUGAAAAAACCUUUAUAAACGAUACUUACUCAUUUAGAUAAACCACUAAUGAAAGAGAGAAUGAUUUGUCUGCUUCUACGCUUCACCACAAGAAAUCUUUUUUUAUUCUUUCAGUGGAGACAAUAAACUGAUUAUAAAGAAAGUAUGAAUUCGUUAGAAUCUUAACAGUAUGUGAAGUUGUAAUUAUCAGAAGAGUUUAAUACUUUUCUGAAGAUCUUAUUCAUGUCUCAAUAAGGGUAGCUUUCCAUACAGAUGAAAAAUCAUGAUGGCCCCGAAUUAAUGCAAAAAAUAGUAAAUGGGGUAAAUAUGGAUUUUUUUUAAAAUUUUAGUUUCCGCUUAUAGUUCAGAUGACAGAUUAGCUUUUGCACGUUUUCACCUUUCUUAGCUACCACUGGGCUGACCACCUAUGUUAAAAGGAGCAUCAUUUGUUACUAAAUUCUACUUUAAUAGUAUGCUGUUAACAUUUUGCUAAAAAAUUCUAGUUAAAAUCUUUAAGAGAAUGAUAAAGUAUGGUGUUCUAGUUCAUGCUGAAUUAGAUAACUUGAAUCCUUUAAGGUGUACAUUCAGAGCUUUCAGGAGAAAUAUUCUCCAAGACAAGGAUAAACUUUUGGCAACCUGAUUGCCUAUUAUGUAUGAAUAUGGAAUCAGGCGUUUAUCUGAUUAAGUAUACAAAGAAUUCCAGCCUUACACCACUCAGACCUCCAGCAAUAUCCACUCCAAGGCAGGCAAACGUCACGAAGAGUUCUAAAGCUCUUCAAACUACAAGUCAUAAUCAUAUAUUUCCAUUUUGCAUCCUAUUGCUAGAUCCCAUAAAAAGUAAUCAAAUUUAAUACCUUGUGUUUCAGUUUGUGCUGUCAAAUUUGAAUGAGAUAUUUCUAUCCUGGAUAUCUUUACAAAGAGAGAGUUAAUUUUGGCCUGAAAUAGACUGAUUUCACUCACCGAUUAAUUAUUUAUACCUGGCACAACCCAAUGUGUUGACAAUAGUUCUUUUAUAUUGAUUUACCUAUAUUUUCAGGAUGGGUGCUGCGCAAGGGCCAUGGAACUUCCUCCGUCAUUUAUCAAUCUCCAGUUGAUGACAUUCAGUUUUGUAUUUCUUCAGACACAACUCCAUCAUAGUUUCCAAUGGCAGCCAUUGUAGACGAUAAUCUAUUAUCGUCGUUCCAUCAUACCUGUCUACUAUAUUUUGGGCACUUGUUCUCUAUGCGCAGGUGCAUAAAUUCCAAGCCGAAGGCAGGUGUAUUUCGAUUGGGGGACGGUUAGGCAUUCCGUCAGAUGAUACCUUAAUCAUGCAUACAGGACCAUGUACUUGAUCUUUCAUGAGAGUAUGUCUAAUUAGAGGUUAGGCUGAAUCUUCUCUCAGACAGGAUCCUGUAUCAAAUGCUGGACAUCCAGAGGUUACUUUCCAUAUCUUGGAUGCAUCAUACCUAGAAUAGAUGCGAUUCAUAAUAUAUCGGAAAUAAAUUAAUGCUCUUGAAAAUAUAAACCGGAAGAAAUUUUUUUGUCAAAAAAUAAAAUAAAAAGGUAGGUAUAGUGAGCCCUCCAACCGGUAGCAACUGACGGUUUCAAUGAUUAUCAGCCCAGUUGUGUUGUGCGUCAACGAAUGUGCCCUGCCGAUCUAUGUCUACAAGGAGUGCUGACCAAUUUUUUUUUAGCGAGAAUGAAUAAUUUUCCAGGAUGAAGUUGGUAUGAGAAGGUAGAAAUUUGGAAAUGGAGAUUUUAAAAUUCAAAGACAAACUGACCUUCAGUGGCGUCUGUCAGGUGAAGGAACCUUGAUUAAGCUUAAAUUUGUACUGGCUCAAAAAUUAUAACUUUGGAUGUCAAAGAUGAAAGCGGAUAUUACGCAUCGCAAACCUUUCCAAUGUAAAUAACAGACAUAAUCAAGGGUAUUAAUAGGCAGCUACUACCUGUGGACAAAACUGAAUUAGUCCACGUAGUAGAAAAAAUGCACGGGCAAUCCAUCAAAUCACAAAUGAUGUCCUUUGAAUGCUUUUUAAAUAUAUUAUAAAAUAAUUAUCUUAUUUUCCUUACGGUUCAAAGACGACAGGCAAGAAAUAUCACCAAACGAUGCAAACGAAAAAUAUCUCGAGUUGGAUGUAGCAGACCCUAUAAUCAGAAUGAUGCUCGAAUCAUUUUUCUGCAGGACUUGGCCGCCUUAUCAAAGUAUCAUAACAUUAUUAUUACAGAAAAAAAUAAUUUGGAAAGUUCGUCAAAUUGAUAUCCGUCAGAAUCCUAUUAACCGAGUGCAUUCUGGUGAAAUUAGCAGAGACUAACCUUUAAGGGCUCACACCGACCCGUAGUUAUCUAGAAAAAAAUAUUUGAAAUAAUGUUUCCAGGAAGAAAAACCCACGAAUGUAUAAAGCAAGAAGAUGACGAAGCUACAGGAGCAAGCGGACAUAAACACUGAUAAACAACAUGAGAUUCAAAGUGACGAGCAUUGAAAUCCUAUAAAAAAAAAUCAUAAGACUAACUUCAUCCAUCCUUUCCCACCAACAUACACGGAAUCCAAUGGUGAUACCCACAUAAACAGGAUCAAUAUUCACAUCAUACUAAGAUAAAAUAUACACAUAUUCAGAUAUCUGGUUACUGAAAUACCACUAAUAUAUGUACUCAUUAGAAAUGAAAGCCGGUAGAAUUAUAACGGAUAUGACAUGACAUUGCCUUGCUAUAUGUUUUGCAGAUACAUUUCCUGUGGCCUAGCGAUAAAUAACUUCAUCGUCUCCUACAAAAAGGCGGUACCUAACUUGUCGCGUGAAGAGAACAAAGUUGAGCGUAGAAACGAUAACAGCGUCACCUCAAACAUAUGUUUUUCUGUAAGAGAACGAAAUCAUAUUGAGGUUAAAACCGAUGAUCUUGAAAGCAGAAACUCGAGAACAAUUAUAUGGCAAAACCGAUGAUUCUUUCCUAUUCAAGCUAACCAAAACUUUCAUCGCUAAACUUGACAACUAUCCAUAUGCCAAGUAUACGAGACGAUCCGAUAAAGAAAUUCUGAGGUAAACCGAAAUUCAUUCUUACCGUAGAAUAAACGACAAAGAAAGAGAACCAACCAAAGUUGUCGCAGAGGAAGAGGAUCACACGCUCACCUGAUCCAGUGAGAAGACGAGGACAAUCAAAAAACUGUGGGGGUAUGAAAACCACAGGCGGCAGCAAACUGACGGCAUCCAGUUUAGGGUUACCUGAGCGCGAAAAUCCGAUCCUGCGGAAAACCGAUCAGUCAAUAUGCAACGAGGGAGCGAGGAGAUGGCAAAUCAUCCGCCAAUGAUGGAUAAUGGGAAACCUGAUGACCUCAUAAUCCCGCCCAAAGGGCUCUUAAAUAGAG